AAUCCAUAGGUUAAUGAGGCGAACCGGGGGAACUGAAACAUCUAAGUACCCCGAGGAAAAGAAAUCAACCGAGAUUCCCCCAGUAGCGGCGAGCGAACGGGGAGGAGCCCAGAGCCUGAAUCAGCAUGUGUGUUAGUGGAAGCGUCUGGAAAGGCGCGCGAUACAGGGUGACAGCCCCGUACACAAAAGCGCAUGUGCUGUGAGCUCGAUGAGUAGGGCGGGACACGUGGUAUCCUGUCUGAAUAUGGGGGGACCAUCCUCCAAGGCUAAAUACUCCUGACUGACCGAUAGUGAACCAGUACCGUGAGGGAAAGGCGAAAAGAACCCCGGCGAGGGGAGUGAAAAAGAACCUGAAACCGUGUACGUACAAGCAGUGGGAGCACAGGUUUACCUGUGUGACUGCGUACCUUUUGUAUAAUGGGUCAGCGACUUAUAUUCUGUAGCAAGGUUAACCGAAUAGGGGAGCCGGAGGGAAACCGAGUCUUAAUUGGGCGUUAAGUUGCAGGGUAUAGACCCGAAACCCGGUGAUCUAGCCAUGGGCAGGUUGAAGGUUGGGUAACACUAACUGGAGGACCGAACCGACUAAUGUUGAAAAAUUAGCGGAUGACCUGUGGCUGGGGGUGAAAGGCCAAUCAAACCGGGAGAUAGCUGGUUCUCCCCGAAAGCUAUUUAGGUAGCGCCUCGUGAAUUCAUCUCCGGGGGUAGAGCACUGUUUCGGCUAGGGGGCCAUCCCGGCUUACCAACCCGAUGCAAACUGCGAAUACCGGAGAAUGUUAUCACGGGAGACACACGGCGGGUGCUAACGUCCGUCGUGAAGAGGGAAACAACCCAGACCGCCAGCUAAGGUCCCAAAGUCAUGGUUAAGUGGGAAACGAUGUGGGAAGGCCCAGACAGCCAGGAUGUUGGCUUAGAAGCAGCCAUCAUUUAAAGAAAGCGUAAUAGCUCACUGGUCGAGUCGGCCUGCGCGGAAGAUGUAACGGGGCUAAACCAUGCACCGAAGCUGCGGCAGCGACACUCAGGUGUUGUUGGGUAGGGGAGCGUUCUGUAAGCCUGCGAAGGUGGCCUGUGAGGGUUGCUGGAGGUAUCAGAAGUGCGAAUGCUGACAUAAGUAACGAUAAAGCGGGUGAAAAGCCCGCUCGCCGGAAGACCAAGGGUUCCUGUCCAACGUUAAUCGGGGCAGGGUGAGUCGACCCCUAAGGCGAGGCCGAAAGGCGUAGUCGAUGGGAAACGGGUUAAUAUUCCCGUACUUGGUGUUACUGCGAAGGGGGGACGGAGAAGGCUAUGUUGGCCGGGCGACGGUUGUCCCGGUUUAAGCGUGUAGGUGUGUGUUCCAGGUAAAUCCGGUUCACUUUAACACUGAGGCGUGAUGACGAGGCACUACGGUGCUGAAGCAACAAAUGCCCUGCUUCCAGGAAAAGCCUCUAAGCAUCAGGUAACAUCAAAUCGUACCCCAAACCGACACAGGUGGUCAGGUAGAGAAUACCAAGGCGCUUGAGAGAACUCGGGUGAAGGAACUAGGCAAAAUGGUGCCGUAACUUCGGGAGAAGGCACGCUGACACGUAGGUGAAGUGAUUUACUCAUGGAGCUGAAGUCAGUCGAAGAUACCAGCUGGCUGCAACUGUUUAUUAAAAACACAGCACUGUGCAAACACGAAAGUGGACGUAUACGGUGUGACGCCUGCCCGGUGCCGGAAGGUUAAUUGAUGGGGUCAGCGCAAGCGAAGCUCCUGAUCGAAGCCCCGGUAAACGGCGGCCGUAACUAUAACGGUCCUAAGGUAGCGAAAUUCCUUGUCGGGUAAGUUCCGACCUGCACGAAUGGCGUAAUGAUGGCCAGGCUGUCUCCACCCGAGACUCAGUGAAAUUGAACUCGCUGUGAAGAUGCAGUGUACCCGCGGCAAGACGGAAAGACCCCGUGAACCUUUACUAUAGCUUGACACUGAACAUUGAGCCUUGAUGUGUAG
rnacentral:rRNA from 1 species